rnacentral:rRNA from 1 species
GAUGAACGCUGGCGGCGUGCUUAACACAUGCAAGUCGAACGGUGAAGCCCAGCUUGCUGGGUGGAUCAGUGGCGAACGGGUGAGUAACACGUGAGCAACCUGCCCUGGACUCUGGGAUAAGCGCUGGAAACGGCGUCUAAUACUGGAUAUGAGACGUGGCCGCAUGGUCAACGUUUGGAAAGAUUUUUCGGUCUGGGAUGGGCUCGCGGCCUAUCAGCUGGUUGGUGAGGUAAUGGCUCACCAAGGCGUCGACGGGUAGCCGGCCUGAGAGGGUGAACGGCCACACUGGGACUGAGACACGGCCCAGACUCCUACGGGAGGCAGCAGUGGGGAAUAUUGCACAAUGGGCGGAAGCCUGAUGCAGCAACGCCGCGUGAGGGAUGACGGCCUUCGGGUUGUAAACCUCUUUUAGCAAGGAAGAAGCUUUUGUGACGGUACUUGCAGAAAAAGCGCCGGCUAACUACGUGCCAGCCGCCGCGGUAA